rnacentral:rRNA from 1 species
AACGAACGCUGGCGGCAUGCCUAACACAUGCAAGUCGAACGAGACCUUCGGGUCUAGUGGCGCACGGUUGCGUAACGCGUGGGAACCUGCCCUUAGGUUCGGAAUAACUCCCCGAAAGGGGUGCUAAUACCGGAUAAUGUCUUCGGACCAAAGAUUUAUCGCAUUUGGAUGGGCCCGCGUUGGAUUAGCUAGUUGGUAGGGUAAAAGCCUACCAAGGCGACGAUCCAUAGCUGGUCUGAGAGGAUGAUCAGGCACACUGGGACUGAGACACGGCCCAGACUCCUACGGGAGGCAGCGGUGGGGAAUAUUGGCCAAGGGGCGAAAGCCUGAUCCAGCAAUGCCGCGUGAGUGAUGACGGCCUUAGGGUUGUAAAGCUCUUUUAGCCGGGAUGAUAAUGACAGUACCGGGAGAAUAAGCGCCGGCUAACUCCGUG